GCUGGGGGUGGGGGAUGGAGAGUAAAGGCACUCAGGGAGAUAUCAUUCCCUUCCUAGGAUCUUGUUCAUCGUCUUCAUGGUCAUGAUACCUCUGUUGUUCAUCUGGGGCUUGGUGAAGCACUUCUGUUGCAUUUGCAGAGAGCCAGAGCAGAACCUUAGAAGGAAUCAUCAGAUAAAUCCAGAAGCACCUACCAUUGCUCCCUUAGAGAUGAUCUGGGUCACCCCCUUGGAUCCUGAACCAACCUAUGUUCAGAUCAUCUUACAGCCUGAAGAAUCACCUCCUCCCUACAGCCUCAGGCCUGAGGACCCUGGUGGUCAAAUGAGAUGCACUUACAGCACAGCCUUUUGAGCUACCUCACCACAAACAUUUUGGAUAAAGCCCAUGACUUCAUAUCUCUGGAUUGACUCUCAUCUUUGAUUUAACUUAUUGUUUUUCUCCCCCUGUCUCCUCCCCAACUGCUGAGCUAGAUUCAUGGUCUUUGUCCCAACUCUGAAGCUAAAGACUGUUGAGGGUGCCUGCAAUGGGAAGCAGAGAUCAUUCUAAUGGAAUGCAGACCUGGACUGGACAGCUCGCUCUGCCAUCCUAAAGAAGUACUUCUGUGUCUGGAGGAGAUAGGAGACUGAACUGCAUGGACUCCAAGCCACCUACCAGAAAGGACCCCACUGUACCUCCAUAGCCAAGCUAAAGUUUCACUGAAUAAUCUCUAACCACUUCUGAGGCUAAGCUCCUGCCAACUCCUUCCAAUGGUGACUGAGUGCUUUGACCACCUGCCUGGGAGGAGUGUGCAUCCUAGCUGAGAAUGAAUGCUGUGACCUUAGGAUAUCUGGGACAUGUGGGCAAUAAAGAAAUGGACUGGAGAGUUCCCCAGA